rnacentral:lncRNA from 1 species
AUGAAAGAAGAUUUUAUUUUAUCUAAUUUUAGUACCAAAUAUAAUAAUUCAAACAAAUUAUUUUUAAAUAAUAUGAUACAAUUACUAAUAAAUAAUUUAAAAAAUUGUUUACACAUAUCAAACUAUAUUGACAUUUGUUUAUUAAUACCUUUAGUAUAUGAAUUCCAUAAAUAUAUGGAUACGGAGUUUAAAAACAUAUUAGUUGUCCAAGUAACAUAUAACAAAGAUAAAAUAAAUGAGACAAACAUAAUAAAUAUAUUGAGAGUUUUUUCAAAAAUAAAAUUUAAACAUUAUUUGAUAAAUAAAUUUUUUUAUAAUAUCACGAAAUUUGUUGCAACUAAAGAAGGAAGUGUCGGAACCAAUAUAGGGAUCACAACCAGCAAUAGUACCAGUAAUACCAGUAGUACCAGUAAUACCAGUAGUACCAGUANNNNNNNNNNUACCAGUAGUACCAGUAGUACCAGUAGUACCAGUAGUACCAGUAGUAAUAACAACAACGACAAUAAAGAAAACUUUGACAGUGAUGUGAUGAUAGAUCAUACGUUAGAACAUAACACGUUAGAACAUAACAAGUUACGACCUCUUUUUUCUUUACCAAAAGAUGUAUUAUUAUUUUUUUAUUAUAAAAGUAAAAGUAAUUUAUUUAUAACUAAAGAUUUAUAUUAUAUAGAACACUACAUUCAACGUUUUAUUUUUGAACUAACAAUUAAAGAUUUUAUUAUGAUUUUAUUUAUAUAUUAUAAAAAUAAAAUUAUAUUAUUACCACAAAUGUUUCAUAAAUUAUAUACAAUAUUUAAUAAUUGUAAAAACAGUAUGAACGAGCAAGAUAUUUUAUUGAUUUUAUUUUUGUUUUCUAAAAAUUAUUAUUUAUUAACAACAACUUAUGAACGUGAUAUUACGUUAAGGGGAGCAGUACCUCCUCCACUUGUUACAGCUGCUCCUGCCACCACUACUACAACUGAUACUACUACCACAACUACAAGAGCAACUACUGAUACUACUACACAUUUGAUAAAAAAAAUUAAUAUUUUUAGAAAGUGUUUAUAUACACAAAAUCAUAUUGAUAGUUUUAUAAAUAUCGUGAAUGAGAUUUUGUUAUAUAUAUAUAUAAUGAUAAAAAAAUAA